GACGAACGCUGGCGGCGUGCUUAACACAUGCAAGUCGAACGGAAAGGCCCUGCUUUUGUGGGGUGCUCGAGUGGCGAACGGGUGAGUAACACGUGAGUAACCUGCCCUUGACUUUGGGAUAACUUCAGGAAACUGGGGCUAAUACCGGAUAGGAGCUCCUGCUGCAUGGUGGGGGUUGGAAAGUUUCGGCGGUUGGGGAUGGACUCGCGGCUUAUCAGCUUGUUGGUGGGGUAGUGGCUGACCCAGGCUUUGACGGGUAGCCGGCCUGAGAGGGUGACCGGCCACAUUGGGACUGAGAUAGGGCCCAGACUCCUACGGGAGGCAGCAGUGGGGAAUAUUGCACAAUGGGCGGAAGCCUGAUGCAGCAACGCCGCGUGCGGGAUGACGGCCUUCGGGUUGUAAACCGCUUUCGCCUGUGACGAAGCGUGAGUGACGGUAAUGGGUAAAGAAGCACCGGCUAACUACGUG
rnacentral:rRNA from 1 species